rnacentral:lncRNA from 1 species
CACAUUGGGUUGGCUUUUAUUGGAAUGCCUAGAUGCAAUCUAUAGUCAUCAAGUUAUGGAAAAUUCAGGUCACAUAUAAAGUUAAGAAGGCAAAUGAAAAGAACAAUACAAAUCAGACAAAAUUUACAUCUCAAAAUAUCAUGAAAGCAUUUUGACUGGCUUUGCCUAAAAUACUUUGAAUAUCAAUUUCUUUUUUGUAAGCUAAUUCUUUUCAUUAUACAGCCCCCUUCCCACCCUCCCAACUCUUAGAAAAAGGUCUUUUGUUUACAUAUUCCCCAAGGUCACUAUUUCUUGUAAAA